GUUACAGCGAACGGGUCCCGUUUGUCCUCCCCCGUGUUCUCACGGACGAGCUCCAGGGUCCGGGUUUAGAGAGCGUCUCUACUUCCGGCGCCGGCUCACUAGGAAAAUCAGAAGGGUUUUUAUGGGCAAAAGCACCUCGCUGGGUCAUAGUGGCCUCUGAAAGAUGAUAUUCGGAGUUCGGUGAGAAAUACUUGCAGAAUCUGAACUCUGUGUGAAGCGCUAUACCUUUACAUCCGUGGUUUUCUGUUUAAGGGUGUAUUAGCAACUGGGUAUGUAUCCAGAAAAAAAAAACAAAACAAAAAAAACCUAAACGUGAAGCUACAGUGAAGUUAUUUAAAAAAAGAAAAAGCAGUAAUGUCUGACUUUUGUGAGGACAUAAGGCAGCAGUGAACCAUUCAUGAAUCUAUAUGGAAACUGGUCUGUUUAGCAGUCCCUGCUAACUCCUGUUUUCCUAGUGAAUUCAUUAUCCCCGAGUUCAGAAGAAUGAAGAAACAGAAACAGAAUAUUAAACAGGACAGAUACAGUUGAGUGCAAAUUUGCUGGAUGCUUCCGGAAGUGGUGAGUUAAGGAGGCUGGUAGAAGAGAGAAACCCGUUCCCUGGGGAACAGAGCAAUGGCAAUGAAGACUGCUGGGAAUAUUUCCUUAACCUGGG